rnacentral:rRNA from 1 species
GUGAGGAAUAUUGCACAAUGGGCGGAAGCCUGAUGCAGCAACGCCGCGUGGGGGAAGAAGGCCUUCGGGUUGUAAACCUCUUUUCUGGGGGACGAGGAAGGACGGUACCUCAGGAAUAAGUCUCGGCUAACUACGUGCCAGCAGCCGCGGUAAAACGUAGGAGGCGAGCGUUAUCCGGAUUUACUGGGCGUAAAGGGCUCGCAGGCGGCUUAGUAAGUUAGACGUGAAAGCUCCUGGCUUAACUGGGAGAGGUCGUUUGAAACUGCUAGGCUUGAGGAUGGGAGAGGGGUGUAGAAUUCCCGGUGUAGUGGUGGAAUGCGUAGAUAUCGGGAGGAACACCAGUGGCGGAGGCGGCACCCUGGCCCACACCUGACGCUGAGGAGCGAAAGCGUGGGUAGCGAACAGGAUUAGAAACCCUAGUAGUCC